GGACGAGCCUCUGGAGAGACUACCGCUACACUUGAUAGUGUGGAAAGGUGGCGCCGAAGGCGAAAGUGUCGCCGUGUUCUUAAUGAAGAUGCGACGCGAAACGCUCAGGCAAAAGGACAGAGGAGAGGAU
rnacentral:ncRNA from 2 species